rnacentral:rRNA from 1 species
UUGACCUCGGAUCAGGUAGGAAUACCCGCUGAACUUAAGCAUAUCAAUAAGGCGGAGGAAGGG